UACGUAAGUGGCGAGCGUUAUCCGGAAUUACUGGGCGUAAAGCGUGCGUAGGCGGUUUAGUGUGUGGGAAUUGAAAGCCCGGGGCUCAACUCCGGAUCCGGUUCCCAAACUGCUAGACUCGAGCGUAUCAGAGGAGAGCGGAAUUCCCGGUGUAGCGGUAAUAUGCGUAGAUAUCGGGAGGAACACCAGUGGCGAAGGCGGCUCUCUGGGGUAUUGCUGACGCUGAGGCACGAAAGCCAGGGGAGCGAACGGG
rnacentral:rRNA from 2 species